rnacentral:snRNA from 1 species
GUGCUCGCUUUGGCAGUGCAUAUACUAAAAUUGGAACAAUACAGAGAAGAUUGGUAUGGCCCCUGUGCAAGGAUGAUGCGCAAAUUCGUGAAGUGUUCCGUGUUUUU